rnacentral:rRNA from 1 species
CGGAUCGUAAAGCUCUGUUGUAAGUCAAGAACGUGUGUGAGAGUGGAAAGUUCACACAGUGACGGUAGCUUACCAGAAAGGGACGGCUAACUACGUGCCAGCAGCCGCGGUAAUACGUAGGUCCCGAGCGUUGUCCGGAUUUAUUGGGCGUAAAGGGAGCGCAGGCGGUCAGGAAAGUCUGGAGUAAAAGGCUAUGGCUCAACCAUAGUGUGCUCUGGAAACUGUCUGACUUGAGUGCAGAAGGGGAGAGUGGAAUUCCAUGUGUAGCGGUGAAAUGCGUAGAUAUAUGGAGGAACACCAGUGGCGAAAGCGGCUCUCUGGUCUGUCACUGACGCUGAGGCUCUAAAGCGUGGGUAGCGAACAGGAUUAGAUACCCUGGUAGUCCACGCCGUAAACGAUGAGUGCUAGGUGUUAGGCCCUUUCCGGGGCUUAUUGCCGAAGCUAACGCAAUAAGCACUCCGCCUGGGGAGUACGACCGCAAGGUUGAAACUCAAAGGAAUUGACGGGGGCCCGCACAAGCGGUGGAGCAUGUGGUUUAAUUC